rnacentral:tRNA from 1 species
GGGGCCGUAGCUCAGAUGGUAGAGUGCCUCGUUCGCAAUGAGGAGGUCAGCGGUUCGAUUCCGCUCGGCUCCACCA